AUAAAUCCUACUACAUAUUUGGGUAUGAAUUGUCCAGUUUGUCCCUCACCUUUUGUUGUAUCUACUGUAUUUUGCCACUCCAUACACUUGCUUUAUACGGCAUAACAACGUGGCAUCUCUUUCAGCCACACAACACAGCUGAUGUACACAGCUCAUACACAAAUCUUCUCAUGUACACAACUCAUACACAAUUAGGGUUCAAAAUUAAAAUCAAAGCCGAGUAACCUCUCCCGCGUGAGCUCUGGAGAUUUCCGCCGUGUCGCCCUUUUCGGCAGCUGUUCUUCAUCUUCUUCUCCGAGGCUUGCUUUCAUUAUGGAAGAGUUUUGCUGUUUUGCGAGUUCAGAUUACAUCAUAUAUAUGCAAGAGGCUUGAAAAGGUUGGAGACAUCUUUGAAGAAAUUAUUUUAAAAGAGAAAAGUUUUAAACGGAUGUAAGCUUGCAGACUUAUUUCAUUUCUGUUUGACAAGUUAUAAAUGGUGAUGUAGAUAUAAACAUUAAAUAGAAAUCCAUGGUUUAACUAAGCUGGCCGAGAUGACUGAUAGUUAUAGCAGGUGUAUUUAGAACUUGCCCAGAUUAUAAGGUCAUAAUGUUAUUUGAACUAUUUCAAGUCUAUGUUAAGCGCUAUUUUUCUUUGUGUUGUGUUGUUAGAUAACAAUGUAGAAGAUAUUAGGAGCUAUUUGAGAUCAACUGUAUGUGUUACUUGAUCAUUCUUUUUCUAUUAAACAGAGCCUAUUUUUUGACAGCUCAAUGUAAGAUAUGAAAGUAUUAAGUGGAAAUUCUGAAAUGAUAUGCAGAAUCUAAAAGCAUUUUACAAUUGAAUAGUCUGAAAUGAAAUCUCUGAUUGAGACGCAAACAAGUGUUAAACUACCAGAAAAUUCUAAAAUGAUAUGCAGAAUCCAGAAGCAUUCUGCAAUUGAAUAGCCUGAAAUGAAAUCUCUGUUUGAGACGCAAACAAGUGUUGAACUACGAGGUUAGUAUAUGGUUUUUGCACUUGGUGGCUUUGUGUUGUCACGAGGUAAAGACUACAAUGUCACCUUUUGUAAAUUGUCAAAGGUUCUUCCUAACUACUCUGUUUUAUGUAUUAUUUUCUUAAUAUUAAUUCCUUGCUUUGUCAUAUGAUUAUGCUUUAUUUAAAAAAAAAAAAAAAUCAGUUGAACAAGUUCUUGGAGAUAUGAUUGAGGUAAAAGAUGCUUAUUUUUUUUACAUGUUUUAUUAGUCGCAAACACAUUUCUAUUUAGAGUUGUGAAAGCCAGGAUCAUUGGUGUAGGAUUACAACAUAAAUGUAGUGAGAGUCCUCUAACCAAUUAUAGCUGCUACAUGAAAUCAUAUUUGGUGCUCGAAUUAUAGGUGUUUGUAGUACAUAAUUUCUUUUGAAGCUAAUUUUUUCAUAUAAAUUAAAAGGUGAAGAAAGAAGUGACACCUUUUUUUUGUAAAAAAAGGUAGAAAUCAUUUGACUGAAGCAUUUAAGCAAUUAAAAAGCCUUCUAUUUCUUUGUUUUGUAUAGUACGGUCCUUCUAUUAUAGAAUGCUGAUGUAUUUAAGUAAUGAAUUAAAAGGCAUGAUCAAUUUAUCCUUGAUAUCAUAUAGAACAAUUUUAGAAAAGAUCUACACUACAUGGACUUGGACGACAUUAAUAGUUUAAUCUAUGCAGUCCAACUAUUUGACAAUAUUUACCUCUAUGCAGAUCACAUGUGAUCUUGGCCUCUAUAGCCAUAAUCCUCCAAUUAUACAUAGAGAUCUCAAGUGUGAUAAUAUUUUUGUAAAUGGUAAUCAAGAGGAAUUCAAGUGAUCUUGGCCUUGCUGCAAUACUAUGCACAUCAUAUGCUGCUCUACAUUGCUAUUGGGAAGCCUCGAGCUAUUAUACCAGCAGAAAGCUACAAACGCAGAACUCAAUUUCAGAGGAGAUGGAUCAGUUCGGUUUGCCUUUCAGUCCUAUUCUCAACGAAUUAAUUUUUCCCAGACAAGAGCAAGAUGCCUGCAGACACUGUUUGUGGAUAUUGGGGAAUGAGAAAGCACUGUCACUAGCUUCUUGGAGGGUGUAUUCUUUCAGCUUCUUCUGCCAAAGUUCUCACUAAACAUAUUAAUUGCAACUUGCAAAAGGAGGUUGGAUGCCUCAAUUUAGUUGGAGCACCAUAUAUUUUUAUGUUGAAAGAAUCUGGCUCUUUAUCAAUUCUAAAUUCUUCCCGAAAGCACCCGAAGUGUAUCGUAGAUACAGAGUUUUGGUAUGUAGACCAAGAUAGCAUGUCAGGAAAUUUAACACGUUCAGCCUCAUCCAGGAGGAUCAUUCCUUUGCCUCAGCACACAGAACAGAAGUUGUGGCUGCCGCCUGCCAGUUCUUUGUGUGCCUUCCAACGACAUUUCUGAUGAGUGAAUAAAGCAUUUACGACACCAAAGGAAUUGCACUAAUCAGAUCUUUAAAGCAGCGAUGGCAAUUACCAGUAGCAUUCUUGCUGAGAUGGAAAUCCCAGACACAUAUAUGGCAGCUCUUCCUGAGAGCUGUGGAAGGGAUAAAAGAUCGAAAGCGGUGAUAAGGAAGAAGAGAAACCGAAGGAUGUGGUACAUGUUAGAGAGAGAAGGGGCCAAGCAACUGAUAGUCACAAUUUAGAAGAAAGGUAACAAGAUUCCAAAACAUUUCACUUUUCCCCCUUGGUUUUGGUCUCUAAGAUCCUUGGUCCUGGUAGUGAUUGGCAACCAAUAUCCUUGACAAAUAUUAUAAUUUCUGAUGCUGUAAAGAAAGCUUACUGAAAAGCCACUCUCCAUGUCCAUCCAGACAAGUUGCAGCAGCGAGGGACAAGCAUCCGGGAAAAGUACAUUUGCGAGAAGGUUUUCGAUCUCCUCAAAGUUUUAUAUAGUUUCCUUCAGUAGAAACCACGUACAUAAUAUUUGAUUCGUUUUCGGCAAUUCUUUAGGUAAUUGCCUAUAGAAGUUGAUUUUGGUCUGGAUGCAACUUGCAAGAGCUGCUGCUAUAAUUUUUAUUAGUUGUAAUUUAUUUUGAGACUACUGUUGCUAAGUAUUGUACUAUUGUUGCCGAGC